UAGGGAAUCUUUGGCAAUGGACGAAAGUCUGACCGAGCAACGCCGCGUGAGUGAAGAAGGCUUUCGGAUCGUAAAACUCUGUUGUUAGAGAAGAACAAGGACGUUAGUAACUGAACGUCCCCUGACGGUAUCUAACCAGAAAGCCACGGCUAACUACGUGCCAGCAGCCGCGGUAAUACGUAGGUGGCAAGCGUUGUCCGGAUUUAUUGGGCGUAAAGCGAGCGCAGGCGGUUUCUUAAGUCUGAUGUGAAAGCCCCCGGCUCAAACGGGGAGAGUCAUUGGAAACUGGGAGGCUUGGGUGCAGGAGAGGAGAGUGGAAUUCCAUGGGUAGCAGUGAAAUGCGUAGAUAUAUGGAGGAACACCGGUAGCGAAGGCGGCGCUCUGGUCUGUAACUGACGCUGAGGCUCGAAAGCGUGGGGAGCAAACAGG
rnacentral:rRNA from 1 species